GCCUCUGUAGCUCAGUCGGUAGAGCAGUGGACUGAAAAUCCACGUGUCAGCAGUUCAAUUCUGCUCGGAGGCA
rnacentral:tRNA from 1 species